GACGAACGCUGGCGGCGUGCCUAAUACAUGCAAGUAGAACGCUGAAGAGAGGAGCUUGCUCUUCUUGGAUGAGUUGCGAACGGGUGAGUAACGCGUAGGUAACCUGCCUUGUAGCGGGGGAUAACUAUUGGAAACGAUAGCUAAUACCGCAUAACAAUGGAUGACACAUGUCAUUUAUUUGAAAGGGGCAAUUGCUCCACUACAAGAUGGACCUGCGUUGUAUUAGCUAGUAGGUGAGGUAAUGGCUCACCUAGGCGACGAUACAUAGCCGACCUGAGAGGGUGAUCGGCCACACUGGGACUGAGACACGGCCCAGACUCCUACGGGAGGCAGCAGUAGGGAAUCUUGGGCAAUGGGGGCAACCCUGACCGAGCAACGCCGCGUGAGUGAAGAAGGUUUUCGGAUCGUAAAGCUCUGUUGUAAGUCAAGAACGGGUGUGAGAGUGGAAAGUUCACACUGUGACGGUAGCUUACCAGAAAGGGACGGCUAACUACGUG
rnacentral:rRNA from 1 species